UUUGAGGUGCUUGUGAUCGCUGUGUCCGUGGUUGGCGCUGUCCUCGUGCUGGCCAUGUGCUGCUGUUGCUGUCGCUACUGUUGCUGUGGUCGUGGGGACGGUGGAGGCGGUCGCGAUUAUGCACGAGACAACCGCGCUAACCAGCUGAACCCCAACAACUGGCGCUUCUGGAGGGCCCGUGGUUACAAUACAUUUCAUUAGAGCAGAAUUUAAAAAAAUGCUAUAAACAGGAAAAUGCA